GAUGGAUUCUUUAACUACAGCCUCUAGUAAGCUUCAAGCACACUGAUUGAAUAGCCAUACCAGACGAUGGUGACGGAGUUUGUGAUGUGGGUUUUUUCUUGUAGCUUGAGUAGCGUUGCCAUUAUUUGAAAAGAAUCGUUCAUAAUUAGCAAGAAGAUCUUCCAGUCUUGUUGAAAAAGCAGUCAAGAUCAACAUCAUUGUCUAUGGAAAGUAAUCUACCUAGCCUCUAUGAUUGGUUUAGGAAGAACAGAAUCUCCAGGGCAGAGCACCUUAUCAUCGCUUUAAAGCAACUAUGCAUCCCUUUCUUACAGAAUAAUCAUGUUUAGCUUUAAGAACCAUUAUAAAUUCCUGCAAUCAAUCAUUCAAAUGAGCAUCAGCCAGCAACUAACCUUCAACUUAUCACUUUCUUUCCGUCUCUUUUGUUUUCCUCUUGAAAUUAAUUACUUCAUCCUUGAUAUUGGGUCAGGAUUGGGUAAUCUGCAUCCUGAGGUUUGGAUCACCACAUGUUUUGAUCUAGUCCUUGGGUUGCAGAUUACCUCUUCCUCACUGACAAUGUAGAGCUUUCCGUUCGCACCUGGACAACUCAAAGUUACUUGAGGUGGCUACUGGCUACACUAAAACCAUGCUCUUGCUCUUCAGGUCUUUGAUCCUGCUGGCAAAUUACACAUUUUACUUAUGGUUCCACUCUCUUAAGAUAGUUCAGGUAUGGCCAUACUGGAAAAUAAUGAUUUCACAGCCACCCCUGAAACUGAGGUCUGUUUUCUAAUGCCCUGGCAAAGAAGCAUAAGAGAAAAAGGAGCGAGUUCUCUAUAAUUUAGAUUUCUGGUUCUUGCAAAAUUGAACAUUCCUGUCAUAUUCCAAGUUCCUAUCUAGAAGUUUUCAACCUCUUGAAGCAGA